rnacentral:rRNA from 1 species
UAGAACGAACGCUGGCGGCGCGUUUAAGCAUGCAAGUCGAGCGGCAAGGGCCUUCGGGCCCCUAGAGCGGCGGACGGGUGAGUAACACGUGGACAAUCUGCCCCCCGGCCCGGGAUAGCCCAGGGAAACCUGGAUUAAUACCGGAUGAGACGGGACCCGCGAUGGCGGGAUCCGGGAAAGGCGCUGCGGCGCCGCCGGGGGAUGAGUCUGCGUCCCAUUAGCUAGACGGCGGGGUAACGGCCCACCGUGGCGACGAUGGGUAGCCGGCCUGAGAGGGUGGACGGCCACAUUGGAACUGAGACACGGUCCAGACUCCUACGGGAGGCAGCAGCUAAGAAUCUUCCGCAAUGGGCGAAAGCCUGACGGAGCGACGCCGCGUGAACGAAGAAGGCCGUGAGGUUGUAAAGUUCUUUUCGGGAGGGGGAACAACCGUGGCAGGGAAUGGCCGCGGGAUGACGUGAAUCCCGGAAUAAGCCCCGGCUAACUACGUGCCAGCAGCUGC